rnacentral:lncRNA from 1 species
CUAAAACAAUGCGAACGCUUUGUGACCAGCGAUGUGUAACUACAUCUGAUGGACUGUGAUCAUGUGAUAUAUAUAUAUAUAUAUAUAUAUAUAUAUAUAUAUGUAUAUGUAUAUAAGAUUUAAAAAUUGCAUAGAAGGAUGACAAAAGAGCACAAUGAGAAUUCACACCAAGACAUAGGCAUGUUCUUUCCUCAUUAGUUAUUGUCCAAAAAGUCAUAACAUUUUCACACCUUUAACGAUAAUAUUGUUCAUUUUGGUAGUUUCAAAAUCAAAAAGUUGCUGGGAAUAAAUGAGCAAAUGUAAAGGACAGUGACUAAAGCAAACACGAUACAGGAGGUAGUUGGUACAACUAUAAAUAUACAUACAGAAGAAAGGCCUUACAGCUAUGAGACGGUAGAUAUAUAUUUAGAUGUGUAUGUGUAAGUAAAAAUCCAACUUGGUUUUGUUGACGGUCUUCUACUUUUGAUUUCUAGACUAAUUUUCUUUGUUAGUUUCUAUGGACAGUGGGUGGUGGAAUUUGAUGGAGUUUGGGACAGAAGAAACUAAAACGCCAUUCAUGGUAUUUAGCUAUGUUCUUCCAUAUGUUCUGUUUGAGGGUUGACGUUGUUUUUGUUCCUUCCUGAUUGAAUAUAAGAAAAUUAAAAAAAAAAGUUUAAGCACCUUUCAUGCAUGGGAUCUGGGGAUUGAAUUUAUUCAAAAUCCUAUAUUUGCCACCUGACUUUACUCGCGAAUCAAAAGAAAAAAAAAAAAAAGACCAAACACCAUUGUAGCUGUGUGCUUAUGUUAGGAAUUGUUUUGAUGUAAUCCUUGAUUUCAGAAAUCUGUGCACUCUUAGAAGCCAGGAUCUCCAGCUGAAGAAUGAAACGAAAUGUGUGUGUUUGUGUGUCCAACAAGACUGGUGUUGAUAUUUUAAUGAUUGCCUGUGCUCAUCCUGGUGUUACGAGUUUGGAGAUCUGGAAAUGUUUGUAACAGUUGAUUGCGGGUAGUGAAAGGGUGGAAGGAAGGACUAGUGGACUGUACACAAAUUAUCACUAACAAUAACAAAGAAAUUAGACGGAAAUUAUUAAAUAAAAUAUCGUUUCAAAAGUUGGAUUUUUCUUAGUUUGUAAGUAAUAUGUUAUAUUUUAUAUAGUGUGUAUAUAUGUUUGUUAGAGUAUGUAUGUAUGUGUGUGUGUGUGUGUGUUGAAAACUGCAAAAAUACUUUCUAUCAUAUAUAGAAUUGUAAAAGAAAAGAGGUGAGCUCACACAUAUAGCCAUGUGUGUUUGUAUAUAUAUAUGUAUGUGUGUGUAUGCUAUGUGUGUGAUUGGGGGAAAGAACUGGAUUAGAUCCAGCUCUCCUUUGACUUAAAUACUCUGCUUCUAAUUUGUUUGGUUGGUUUUGGCGGAGAAGAGAAGAAAAAGAUCCGUUUUUUUUUUUUUUUUUCCUCUCCUUAAUCUAGUUACGAUCAUUCAGCCCUCUUCGCCCCCAACCGCCACCACAUCUUCCAUCACCACCAACACUGCCGCCGCCACAAUGACCACCACCACUGAGUAAUUCUGCCUCUACCUAUCUACUUGACCUUCACCCCCACUCCGGCCCCUUCCCCCCCACCAAAUCAUGUUCCUACCUCUUCGCCUGUAUGUAUAAUAGUAGUUGUAUGACAACUGUUCUACUGUGAUACAGAGACAUUCAUCCCAUUCUCUUUUCUAAACUUCAUAACUCUUUGACUAUCACUCUUUUCUCUCUCUUUCACUCCUGUUAUCUGUCUGUCUCUCACACACACACACACACACACGCAUAUAAUCCGACAGCCACAGCUGUUGGACUGUUUUGAACUCGUUAAAGGUAAUUUUUACCAAGUUCUUUUAUUUUCAUUGCCUUUAUUUUAUUUUAUUUUUUUUUUGAAAAUCAUUUCACUCGAAUUCACUUGACUUGACUCGACUCACUUCCACUCUGCUCCACUCCACUGACAUUUCACUUCAAUCAGUGUUGUUAAUCCGAUCUAAUCUAAUCUAAUUUAAUCCUUCUUCUUCCUUCAAUCACUUAUUUGGCUGUUUCUCGAGAAAGACAAGACUGUAAGAAUAUUACAUUUAAUUUUAUUGUUUCCUCAAAUUUCCUUUUUAAUCCAAAAGGCAAAAUUGCAACUAUUUUAAGAAAAAUAAAUACACAAAUAAAUAAAUAAAUAAAUAAAUUCUUGAAUAUUUUAUAGUAUUAUGUUGAAAAGCCCAAAAUCUUGUCCUCACCCCUGCUACAAACCCUGAUUCCACUUCUCAUUUAUAAUAGAAUAUAAUUGUCCAGAAUGCUUCUAGUCAGACCAGCUGGACUCCAGUUCCACAUCAACCAUUCUCUUUCUUUUCCAUUGAAACAAUCUCCCUUCCCCCUUACUCCCAUCAUUUUUAAUAAAUUUUUCAUUUUUUUUCCAGCCAUUAAUUGCAUUUUGUUUAUUCUUAUUUAUUUUUUUUUUCUCUCUUUUUAAAUGAAAAUAAAAUUUUCUCGCUAAUCUAUUUUUUAUUGAAAUCCUUGAUUAAAUUUUGAUUCUUUUCUCACCUCUGCCAUUUUCACCAUCAUCAUCAUCAUCAAACAUGUUUUUUUAAAAACCUUGUUCACCCUGUUUCAAUAUAUUCUUGCCCUAAAUCUAUAUUUUUCUCAAUAUUAUUGUUAUCGUAAUCAAGAAGGUGGAAUAGCAGAAUUGAUUGAGCAGCAUAAACAAAAAA